rnacentral:rRNA from 1 species
AUUGAACGCUAGCGGGAUGCUUUACACAUGCAAGUCGAACGAGUGGCGGACGGGUGCGUAAUAUAUCGGAACGUGCCCAGUAGCGGGGGAUAACUACUCGAAAGAGUGGCUACUACCGCAUACUAUUGGAGCGGCCGAUAUCGGAUUAGCAAGUUGGUGGGGUAAAGGCUCCCCAAGGCAACGAUCCGUAGCUGGUUUGAGAGGACGACCAGCCAGAGUGGGAAUGAGACACGGCCCAUACUCCAACGGGAGGCAGGAGGGGGGAAUUUGGGAAAAGGGGGGAAACCCUGAUCCAGCCAUCCCGCGUGUAUGAGAAGGCCUUCGGGUUGUAAAGUACUUUUGGCAGAGAAGCGGUAUCUGCAGAAUAAGCACCGGCUAACUACGUGCCAGCAGCCGCGGUAAUUC